AAGGUGGGGAUGACGUCAAAUCAUCAUGCCCCUUAUGACCUGGGCUACACACGUGCUACAAUGGCUGGUACAACGAGUCGCAAGCCGGUGACGGCAAGCUAAUCUCUUAAAGCCAGUCUCAGUUCGGAUUGUAGGCUGCAACUCGCCUACAUGAAGUCGGAAUCGCUAGUAAUCGCGGAUCAGCACGCCGCGGUGAAUACGUUCCCGGGCCUUGUACACACCGCCCGUCACACCACGAGAGUUUGUAACACCCGAAGUCGGUGAGGUAACCGUAAGGAGCCAGCCGCCUAAGGUGGGAUAGAUGAUUGGGGUGAAGUCGUAACAAGGUAGCCGUAUCGGAAGGUGCGGCUGGAUCACCUCCUUUCUAAGGA
rnacentral:rRNA from 1 species